rnacentral:misc_RNA from 1 species
GGAAGUAAAAAGUCGUAACAAGGUUUCCGUAGGUGAACCUGCGGAAGGAUCAUUAUUGUAUAACCGAGGUGCGAGGGCUGUCGCUGACCCGAAAGGUCGUGCACGCCCGAGUGCCCUCACACACAUCCAUCUCACCCCUAUGUGCACCACCGCGUGGGUCCCCCUUUGGCUUGUUCGGAGGGGGGCUUACGUUUUCACACGAACUUUGUAUGCAGUGUAGAAUGUAUUUUUUGUUUUUGCGAUCACGCAAUCAAUACAACUUUCAACAACGGAUCUCUUGGCUCUC